AACGAGGGGAUAAUUAGCGCAUGUACUGGUGGAUGUUAUCAGCGUGCGUCACUGACGAGCUACCACGCAAAGGAAGAAAUAUUGAUGUUCACUCGUACAUCCCAGUUGUUGACCUUAUGUGAAUGGAUGUGAAGAGACAAAUAAAGAUGCAUUCAACGGUGGAAAUCGGA